UCUUUCCCAUUUUUUUCUAUUUCUUUUACCUUUCUGUUCUUCUUCUACUUUUCUAAGUCCGGCCAGCCCAAGAUGGUGACCAAGACCGUGCUGGGAAUCGUGUGUGCCGUCGCCACCGGCGUCCUCCUGUUUACCGUGGCGCAUCUGCAGCACAUCCACCACGAUGUUGAGGCGCUGGUACAGAGCUGGGAGGCCGAGGGUCCCCAAACCACGGCGUUGGGGCGACUCCGAGCUGUGGUGGCCGCGAUGAACUGGCUGGGGCCGCUGAGGCCUGCCGCACCCCGGGACCCCCUGAAAGAGUGCGGGCUGCCCCCGGCCGGUUAUGCCUGGUGGUACACGAGGAGGCAUCUGGCCUGCCUCCAGGAGCACAUGGCCGAGGCCCGAGCUGAACAAAGCCUCUUUGAGAGGAAGCUUCUGGCCAUCAUCAUGAUAACUGUGAAUCUCCUGGCCUUCGUAGUCUUGCUCCUCGCCAAGGUGCAGCAGAACGUGCCCGGAGACUCUCUGUCCCGGGGAGUUCUCUUGAAAUACGCCAGACUACUUGCGAAGGACCGGCAGCCGCUGAGCAAGUCCUUGAAGCGCACCCCACGCGUCUGGCGGCUGAAAGACGCCAUGAGAGCCGCUCUCUCCCGGCGGCGGCGCAAGAAUGCAGGGAAGAAGGUCAGUUACGACUCUUUGGACUGGUGGCGGGAAAAUGACGAUGGGCGCGGCAAGCUGGUGAUCCAGCCGAAGGAACGCAUCGGGGAAAAGUUCCGGCCUUACCCGUACCCCAAGCCGCCCGGCCCCCUGAAACUCCCGACUCCCAUCGGUGACCUUCCCAUCCCGCACCAUGGCUGCCAGUGUGCCUGCGCUGCCGAGUCACGGUGGUGGCUGGUGUUGCUCGCGGCGAUUCUGCUCCUCCAGCUGUACCUUGUUUUCGUUGAGGCGCCGCAGGUUUAGGACAGCUGAUGACAACACCACACGCCACACACCACAGAAGACAGCACACAACACACACCUCCCCUUCCCUCUCCCCAGGAAGAGAAGGCUUUCAACGACCACACCACACCACGCAACACACAGAACACAACAUACAACACACACCUCCCCUUCCCUCUCCCCAGGAAGGGAAGGCUUUCAACGACCACACCACACCACGCAACACACAGAACACAGCACACAACACACACCUCCCCUUCCCUCUCCCCAGGAAGAGAAGGCUUUCAACGACUACACCACACCACGCAACACACAGAACACAGCACACAACACACACCUCCCCUUCCCUCUCCCCAGGAAGGGAAGGCUUUCAACGACUACACCACACCACGCAACACACAGAACACAACACACGACACACACCUCCCCUUCCCUCUCCCCAGGAAGAGAAGGCUUUCAACGACUACACCACACCACGCAACACACAGAACACAACACACGACACACACCUCCCCUUCCCUCUCCCCAGGAAGAGAAGGUUUUCAAACACAACAAAACACCCCUCAACACACAGAACACAACACAAGACACAAGACAUGACACAAGACUCAAGACAAGGCAAAAAGAAGAUGAACAAGAAAGAAGAAGAACAAGAAAGAAGAACAAGAACAAGAAAGAAGAAAAAGAAAGAAGAAGAACAAGAAAGAAGAAAAAGAAAGAAGAAAAAGAAAGAAGAAGAACAAGAAAGAAGAAAAAGAAAGAAGAACAAGAAAAAGAAAAAAGAACAAGAAAGAAGAAAAUGAAAGAAGAAGAACAAGAAAGAAGAAAAAGAACAACAAAGAACAAGAAGAACAAGAAAGAAGAACAAGAUCAACAAAGAACAAGAAGAACAAGAAAGAAGAAAAAGAACAAGAAAGAAGAACAAGAACAAGAAAGAAGAACAAGAACAAGAAAGAAGAAGAAGAA